rnacentral:rRNA from 1 species
CGAACGCUGGCGGCAUNNUUAACACAUGCAAGUCGCNNCGAAGGCUUCGGCCNUANCUGGCGCACGGGUGAGUAACGCGUGGGAACCUGCCCUUUGGUUCGGAAUAACUCCGGGAAACUGGAGCUAAUACCGGAUGAGCCCUGUGGUUGUGGAGAUCAUAGGGGAAAGAUUUAUCGCCGAAGAGGGNGCCCGCGUCCGAUUAGGUAGUUGGUGAGGUAACGGCUCACCAAGCCGACGAUCGGUAGCUGGUCUGAGAGGAUGAUCAGCCACACUGGGACUGAGACACGGCCCAGACUCCUACGGGAGGCAGCAGUGGGGAAUAUUGGACAAUGGGCGCAACUGNAUCCAGCAAUGCCGCGUGAGUGAUGAAGGCCUUAGGGUUGUAAAGCUCUUUCGCACGUGACGAUGAUGACGGUAACGUGAGAAGAAGCCCCGGCUAACUUCGUGCCAGCAGCCGCGGUAAUACGAAGGGGGNUAGCGUUGUUCGGAAUUACUGGGCAUAAAGGGCNNNUAGGCGGCUUGUUCAAGUCAGGCGUGAAAUCCCCGGGCUUAACCUGGGAAUUG